AAUUGAACUCGCUGUGAAGAUGCAGUGUACCCGCGGCAAGACGGAAAGACCCCGUGAACCUUUACUAUAGCUUGACACUGAACAUUGAGCCUUGAUGUGUAGGAUAGGUGGGAGGCUUUGAAGCGUGGACGCCAGUCUGCGUGGAGCCAACCUUGAAAUACCACCCUUUAAUGUUUGAUGUUCUAACGUGGACCCGUUACCCGGGUUGCGGACAGUGUCUGGUGGGUAGUUUGACUGGGGCGGUCUCCUCCUAAAGAGUAACGGAGGAGCACGAAGGUUGGCUAAUCCUGGUCGGACAUCAGGAGGUUAGUGCAAUGGCAUAAGCCAGCUUGACUGCGAGCGUGACGGCGCGAGCAGGUGCGAAAGCAGGUCAUAGUGAUCCGGUGGUUCUGAAUGGAAGGGCCAUCGCUCAACGGAUAAAAGGUACUCCGGGGAUAACAGGCUGAUACCGCCCAAGAGUUCAUAUCGACGGCGGUGUUUGGCACCUCGAUGUCGGCUCAUCACAUCCUGGGGCUGAAGUAGGUCCCAAGGGUAUGGCUGUUCGCCAUUUAAAGUGGUACGCGAGCUGGGUUUAGAACGUCGUGAGACAGUUCGGUCCCUAUCUGCCGUGGGCGCUGGAGAACUGAGGGGGGCUGCUCCUAGUACGAGAGGACCGGAGUGGACGCAUCACUGGUGUUCGGGUUGUCAUGCCAAUGGCACUGCCCGGUAGCUAAAUGCGGAAGAGAUAAGUGCUGAAAGCAUCUAAGCACGAAACUUGCCCCGA
rnacentral:rRNA from 1 species